rnacentral:tRNA from 1 species
GCCGGUGUGGCGGAAUUGGCAGACGCGCUGGACUCAAAAUCCAGUUCCUUUCAUCGGGAGUGUGGGUUCGACUCCCACCACCGGCA